GAAUCUUGGGCAAUGGGCGAAAGCCUGACCCAGCCACGCCGCGUGCAGGAAGACACCCCUAUGGGGCGUAAACUGCUUUUAUAUGAGAAGAAGGCCCUGCCCUGCAGGGUUUGACGGUAUCGUAUGAAUAAGCACCGGCUAACUCCGUGCCAGCAGCCGCGGUAAUACGGAGGGUGCAAGCGUUGUCCGGAAUAACUGGGUGUAAAGGGUGUGUAGGCGGGACUGUAAGUCAGAGGUGAAAGCCCACGGCCCAACCGUGGAAUUGCCUUUGAUACUGCAGCUCUUGAGUCUCGGAGAGGUCAUCGGAAUUCGUGGUGUAGCGGUGAAAUGCGUAGAUAUCACGAGGAACACCAGAGGCGUAGGCGGAUGACUGGACGAGUACUGACGCUGAGGCACGAAAGCGUGGGGAGCAAACAGG
rnacentral:rRNA from 1 species